rnacentral:rRNA from 1 species
GAUGAACGCUGGCGGCGUGCCUAAUACAUGCAAGUCGAGCGAACAGACGAGGAGCUUGCUCCUCUGACGUUAGCGGCGGACGGGUGAGUAACACGUGGAUAACCUACCUAUAAGACUGGGAUAACUUCGGGAAACCGGAGCUAAUACCGGAUAAUAUAUUGAACCGCAUGGUUCAAUAGUGAAAGACGGUUUUGCUGACACUUAUAGAUGGAUCCGCGCCGCAUUAGCUAGUUGGUAAGGUAACGGCUUACCAAGGCAACGAUGCGUAGCCGACCUGAGAGGGUGAUCGGCCACACUGGAACUGAGACACGGUCCAGACUACUACGGGAGGCAGCAGUAGGGAAUCUUCCGCAAUGGGCGAAAGCCUGACGGAGCAACGCCGCGUGAGUGAUGAAGGUCUUCGGAUCGUAAAACUCUGUUAUUAGGGAAGAACAAAUGUGUAAGUAACUAUGCACGUCUUGACGGUACCUAAUCAGAAAGCCACGGCUAACUACGUG